GAAAAAGUGAAUUUACUAACAUUUUUAUGUUACAAAUAAUGAAAUGGAAAGCAUAACACAGUUAGGGUGGGGGGUGACAUUAAUUACAUGAUUUCCUUUAAACGAACCUCCCUUCCUCCCACAGAUCUGACUCCCUGCGGUGCUAGGAGUCCAGCCCAAGCAGUCUCAUAGCACAAAAGGAUUAGCUCUUUAUCCUAGCUGAUUCUAAAGAAAAGAGCUCCAGUCACGCAAUUCUGUGUAUGCAAACCUCCAGCAACUUUUCAACCCCUGCACACAACAAAGCCAUCAAAUACCUGGAAUUGACAGAAUCGCGUGCAUUUCAGGUACUCCUGGAUAGUACUGGUGCACCGCCACAUUAGGAGUGAAGGAAAAGGUGGAGUGGAGCUUCACCUGGUUAGACUCUUAAUACACACUGUCUUGUGUUCAGAGACCCAGUCAUAGUGCUGAGAAAUCCAGUCCUGGUUUUGAGGUUUGAGGGAAGUAAUGAUCCCAGAAAUACAAGCAAGCCUGGAGGUGGUUAGGACAUGAAAGUGUGCAGCAACAAACUCCACUCACCAUCAUGCCUUUGGCGCCCACGCUGGCCGGGAGUAGCAUGCGCUGUGCUGCUGUGCUCCAACUAUGGCUCAGUGCGGUUCAGGCAGCUCACUAGAUCGCAUCUUAUCAGCGACAGAGAAACGCGUUGGAGUGGAAGAAGGGACCGUCACUGCACUGGACUAUAAAGAGGAACGCAGUUCUUUUUUUGAUAUUUAUUGGAAAUAAUCACACAUCGAUGUGCUUAAUUUGCCAAAGCACAGAUCACUUUACCAAGGAUUAUGUGGACGGAUUAAGAGGAUGACAUGCGAACCAUUCAGCAGUGACACACGUGGAGUUAUUUACAGUAUUAAUAAUAUCAUUGUUAUCGGUGAAACAUAAUCACGAUGGCCUCAGCUGACGGAUUAGACAGUCUACUUGUGGAUCGUACAGUAGGAUUUGAGGAAAUACUGUCCCUUACACGGAAUGAGCAGUGUCCACUACUCCAGCUGCCCGAGACCUGCUGCUGGACAAGUGGCUUGUCAGACAGACGUCUUGGGUUAUUUCACGCGUGUAAAGUGUGUGUCCACUAUCAUUGAUGGCCACUACCGUGAUAUGCUUUUGGAGUUUUGUGCAUUUUGACAUGAGGAAAGGAAUACCUUGGGAUAUAUUUUGGGAACGAUGCUCAGCAGAUGUCCAGCGGUUUGGAUAAUGACAGUGCGCAUCACAUCAUCCAGCAGAUGAUCUUAGGUGAGCACUGAGAAGAGGCUGACUAAUGGAAAGAUGAUCCCAAGAGAUUCAACAGGAUCAUGCUAAAUUCUGGUUUGGACUAUAGACCAGCAUCUCCUGUAGCAGAUAUUUGCUCCUGGCAUGGCUGCUGACAGCAUGAGCUCCAUCACUGACAGUCUCACUUUCAUGAUCCAGCACCCGCAGUUUGACUUGGAGAAGCUGUGACAUAAACUCAGCAGGACAGUACAGUGUAAUCUGCUGUUCAGACAUUAUGGAACAGAUCCGUCAACUCUGCCGUCACUAGAAAGUCAACUUGAUGACUGCACAGUCACCAUAUUUACCACAUAUUGUUUGACUUUUUAUAAACUGAUCCUGGUUUAAUAUUUCCAUUUAUAUACAUCUGCUCUUGAUAUUCUGUGUUUAUUUAUACUAUUACUCAUGCACUGUAGCUGUGACAGUUACUGGAUACAUUAUCAACAAGCGCCGGGACUUUAAAUAGAAACUAAACAGAUGGUAUUCUCAGACUGAAGACCAGCACAGUCGCAUAUACAGUUUAUCUAGCAUAGAGCACCGUAAAUCUCUUCUGUUGUGUAAAACAAAUUAAAACACAUAAUCCAGAUUCCUCAGAAGGAUUACUCAGCCUCACCUCUUGUAACUGUGUCCACAAAGAAGCCAUUGUCAUCAAGGUGCUGAUGAAUGUGAACCAAAAACUCCUGUUGACACUGCAAUUCAUUGUAACACAUUCGCAACAGGUGUUAAUAUUAGCUAAUAAUCCUGUCCAACUGUUUGUCGCCUUGAUGAUUUAUAACUCCUUUGUUGUGUCUGCAAAAUCCUUUUAUCAGGAAUAAAAGGUGUUGCUGUCAAUCUAUCAGAUUAUCACCUGAUGACAUGCUUUAGUGAUGUCCAUUAUGUUUAUGCAAAUGUGUGCACUAUUGUUAUUAGUUGUACUGAGCAUAUGCAACUCUUCCUUUCCAUGUCUGUUCAGGUGAUAAUAAGAAUAAAAGUGAAUUCUAAAGUGAAAUGGAAAAUACGACAUUUUAAAUGUUGAAUUGUUGAAGGAAACCAGAGGCUUUACUUGACCAAUGUGGAUAGCAGAUCAGUUUUGAAACUAUGUAAAAAUGUAUUGUGCUAAAGCAUCAUCUACCUUCACAUGACCUUUUUCUGAAAGUAACAACGUUUUCCUGCAAAAUGUGACAUCAUGAAAAAAUGUUUGCAUGCUAAGUUCAGUUUCUGUGAAUCUUGUAUGUAGGAUGUCAGAGAAGUGCAGUCUAAGUCACCAGUGGUCACACUGCAGGGAGUUUUCAUUAGUUUGUGAAUAAAAAUCCCCACAGCUUCUGUAGCUUCUCUAGAAAGGCAUUCCAGCAUACAUUACAAAUUCAGUUAUUGUUAUCGGUUAGUUUAAGUGAGUUCAACAAUUCAAUAGUGACUUCCCAUUCAACUGUCUUUCACUGUCAAUUUCAGCUUAAUUCAAUAAGGUGGGGGUGGGUCUCCUCAGGGGAUGGGACAUUGGUGUGUGAGUGUGGGGUAGCAGAGUUGCUAAGGAGGUAAUUAUUCCUCAAAGGUUUGCUCAAUGAUGUGUUUGGAUCUGCAAUAAAACAAACGAGGCUAGACUCCACUGCAGUGUACUGUAUCCAGGCCUUUAUUCUUGUGCUUGACAAUUUUGUGCAAAGCAUCAUAGGGAUCAUAUUAUGAAUCAGAUUUGUGGGGGAUGGGGUCAGUGCCAUCUGAAGAAGAAAAGGGGUGUGAAGGGCCCAGCGAUAAUGCUCUGGAAGUUGAGCUUCAUGACAUCUUUAUGGCCCUGCUUACGGUCAACAACAUUAGCAUGUUGACAAUGCACUUCCUUGCUUGCCUGCCUCCCCCCUCCUUUUUACUCUCCAUUUUUUUCUCACACACAUACACAGCUCAGGGGAAAAAAUGACCUCUCUGCAGCUCUCAAUUCACUACACUUCUAUAGCCCUGAAUGGACCGGCUCAACAAAAGGUGACAUAAUUUUCUCAGGGUUUGAUUGGCCCCCUCCAUGCUACAGGAUGACAUCAUGCAACAUCCCUCCCCCUCCACCAACACAUCACAACCAACACCAGCUCACCACUAAGCCCCUUCCCCUCCAUGUUCUUGGAUGCUGGGUUGCCAAGACAACAGAGUUAGGCCCAGGUCGUGGGGCAAGACUUGGCAGUAUGUUGUGACUUGGCUGUCCAUAAUGAGCUCAGGCAGGGUUGCUCUUGUGUAUGCAGUAAAGAGUCUUGGGAAAUGAUAGGGGGAGACAUGAAGAAGAGGAGGAAUGAGGGACACUGUCUUGGUAUAAUAAUGAGUUCCUUUUUGUUUCACUUCUCUUCCAUAGGAUGUGUUGACUCUGCAACUGAAAAAGUAUUUCAGUAAGAAGUGUCAAAACACAAACUUUGAAUGUCAGGUUUUGUGUUGAUCUGUGCUCUUUUGCUUGAAACUGCAAGUUUUAUUGUGUCUCACUUUAUCUGGUGGCA